CCGACACCUGAUCCCAAGAGGUUCCACUUCUCACAGCAGUUAAACAGAAGUACUGACAACAGAUCUCUCAUUUGGAGGCUUGGGCUGUGACUCUCAAAUUAAAUUUGUAGGUGUUACAUUU
rnacentral:snoRNA from 1 species